AUCUUUGCGCUUGGGGCAAUGACGCAGCUAGUGAGGUUCUAACCGAGGCGCGUCAAUUGCUGGUUGAAAACUAUUUCCAAACCCCCUCCAAGGCCCUGUGCCUUCGAGAAUUUCUGGAAGGGCUGCC
rnacentral:snRNA from 1 species